rnacentral:rRNA from 1 species
AUGCAAGUCGUGCGAGAAAGUAUCUUCGGAUAUGAGUAUAGCGGCGGACGGGUGAGUAACGCGUAGGAAUCUACCUGGUAGAAGGGGAUAGCCCGAGGAAACUCGGAUUAAUACCGUAUACCUCCUUAGGGAGAAAGAGGGCCUCUCUUGAUGCUCUCGCUAUUAGAUGAGCCUGCGUAAGAUUAGCUUGUUGGUGAGGUAAUGGCUCACCAAGGCUACGAUCUUUAGCUGGUCUGAGAGGACGAUCAGCCACAUUGGGACUGAGACACGGCCCAGACUCCUACGGGAGGCAGCAGUGGGGAAUAUUGGACAAUGGGCGCAAGCCUGAUCCAGCCAUACCGCGUGUGUGAAGAAGGCCCUAGGGUUGUAAAGCACUUUAAGCAGGGAGAAAAAGCUAUAAGUUAAUACCUUAUAGCCCUGAUGUUACCUGCAGAAUAAGCACCGGCUAAUUCCGUGCCAGCAGCCGCGGUAAUACGGAAGGUGCAAGCGUUAAUCGGAAUUACUGGGCGUAAAGCGCGCGUAGGUGGUUUGUUAAGUUGGAUGUGAAAGCCCUGGGCUCAACCUAGGAACUGCAUCCAAAACUAACUCACUUGAGUACGAUAGAGGGAGGUAGAAUUCAUAGUGUAGCGGUGGAAUGCGUAGAUAUUAUGAAGAAUACCAGUGGCGAAGGCGGCCUCCUGGAUCUGUACUGACACUGAGGUGCGAAAGCGUGGGUAGCGAACAGGAUUAGAUACCCUGGUAGUCCACGCCGUAAACGAUGACAACUAGCUGUUGGGAGACAAAGUCUUUCAGUGGCGCAGCUAACGUUUUAAGUUGUCCGCCUGGGGAGUACGGCCGCAAGGCUAAAACUCAAAUGAAUUGACGGGGACCCGCACAAGCGGUGGAGCAUGUGGUUUAAUUCGAUGCAACGCGAAAAACCUUACCUACUCUUGACAUACUUGGAG